UUUUUUGUAUUUUUAGUAGAGACAGGGAUUCACCGUGUUAGCCAGGAUAGUGUCCAUCUCCUGACCUUGUGAUCCACCCGCCUCAGCCUCCCAAAGUGCUGGGAUUACAGGCGUGAGCCACCACGCCCGGCCAGAAGACCCAGUCUUAAACUCUGGUAACUUGGAGGAAGUGAGGACCAAAGAAGAAAUUUCUGACCAUUAAAGAAGCAGGAGAAAAAGGAGAUAAGAAAACCUUCUGGAUUGGAAAGGGGCUCUGAUCCAUACCCCAAGAGAGGGUUGUUGAAUCUCUUGCAAGAAAGAAUUUGGGAAAAUUGAACAGAAGCUUGAUGACUUCCCAAGAACAAUUUGGUAGAAAAGAGUGCUGAUGAAGAAGAGAGGACAACACAAAAGAAGACACAGAAGCACCAUGGGCAAACCAUGGAACAAGAACUGGAAUGAAUAUCUAUUCCACUACCUGAACUAAAGACUGCAGACGGAGAAAGGGAAGACAGGGGUUUAACUGGCAAUUCAAAGUGAGGUGAUCAGCCUUCUGUUACAGAGUUAACUGUGUGUGAAAGAAUGUAAGAUUCAUGUAUACAUCUGACAGUGACAGCUGUAUGGCCACAGCUUCACAACUGGAGCUGCUGAUAAGACACCUACUCGGAGUAAUGAUGCAUAAUAUGGAAAUGCAAUAACCCAGACCUCGGUCUUGCUCUGUUGCCCAGGCUGUAGUGCAGAUGCAAGAUCAUAGCUCACUGUAGCCUCUAACUCCUGGGCUCAAGUGAUCCUCCCUCUUCGGCCUCCUAAAAUGCUGGGAUUACAGUGAUCAGGUUUUUCAUCUUGCCCAUCAUCUUCUGGACCUCAAAUACCUGCUGAAGAUGAGAUUUUGCCUUAACUUAGUGGGCUUGAACUCUGUACUGAUGAUAUGAAGCAACCCUGCCCUACCUGGUGGAGAAGGAAAAUGUAAGAUCUAUGGACCUUACUUUAGGAUGAACUUUUAAAAACAAAUAUGAAAUAUUCCCAGGCAGUUCCAAAACUUGUGUUUUAUAUGUUAAAAUGUGUUUACACUAAUAUAAAAUUUAACUGUCUUUUUAUUAUUGCGAACAAACCAAGUAAUACCAAUUAAUUGAACUGUGCUUCUUAAACAUUAUUUUAAAAUUAACUGUUAUUAGUUUACUUGGCUCAGGCUUUCACCUGAUCCUUGGCCUUUGUUUAUGUGUCCACAUCUUCAAGGUUAAAUAAUUUAAGUUGUCAUUAUGUUCUAUGGUUAAAAUUUGCAUAUCAUGAGUGCUACUUUUCAUUUCCAGGUCAACUUCUCUCCCAAGUCUGGUGUAGUCCGAGGAAUUACUCCCUAGAGUGAAAAUUUAAAAAGCAAACCUUGUUUCAAGUAUCUAAGCUAUCAUUUUACAUUGGAGUACUUUAUGAAUUUUUUUUUAUUUGGAUCUCCUUCGAGAAGUCCCCCUAUAAUUGCUUAUUGAAUAACUUCAAGAGUGUGUUAUUAUUAUUUUUUCUAAUCGGGUAUCUUUAGAACCAUAACAGGUAUUAUCUUCUAAGAUGUAGUUAUAUAGGGCCCAGAUCACUGCUACCAGAUAAGACACAAAAGGAAAAUCUGAAGAGACCCAUAUAGCUCCACCUACAGAGACAGGAGGAAAGGGAAUUUGAAAUGUGGAAUCAAAAGCUGGAGGCCAUAACAGCAGAAAGCAGCAACAAUUUUGGAUGAUGGAUUCUCAGUAACUUAUAUGUGGAGCACAUCCCCUGAGACUUCAAGGGAAGUAACCAAAUGGGAAAUGGUAAGGUCUUAAGUCUGGAUUGAGAGUCAAAGUUCAGAGGAGGAAUGGCAAGAGUGAAACAUAGUAUCUUUUCUUAGCAGGACUGAGAUCUAAGCAACACACUGGAAUCCUAAACAAAGGGGAAACGUUACAGGAGUGCAGGUGGGGUUGAGCUUCAGGUAUGUAUCUUAGUUCUCAGAACAGGACAUAAGGUUACUUAAGCCCAGCUUCCAUAGGGUCAGGCAAAACAGCUUGAACAUCCCCAAUCUACAAAUCCAAAAUCUGAAAUGCUCCAAAAUCCAAGACUUUUGAGCACCAACAUGAUGCCACAAUUGAAAAAUUCCACACAUAACUACUUAACACAACUUCGUUUCAUGUGCAAAAUUAUUUACAAUAUUGUAUAAAAUUACCUUUAGGCUAUGAAUAUAAGGUGCAUGUGAAACAUAAGUGAAUUUUAUGUUUAGACUAGGGCCCCAAGCCCCAGAUAUCUCAUUAUGUAUGUACAAAUAUUCCAAAAUCCAAAAGCAUUCAAAGUCCAAACACUUCUGUCCCCAAGUAUUUUGAAUGAGGGAGAGACAACCUGUAGUUCCAAAAAUUGCUUCUGCUUGAAGCCCCGUUUGGGUCUGGGGAUAAAUUUUCAUGUACAUGCUAGCCAUGGGGAGUGGAGGCAAAUAGAAUAUUUCCUGUAACAUAGCACCUGUGGUCCUCUGAUUACAUUUGCACUAAUUCCUAAAGUAUCACAGGAACGUGUUCUCUUAACUCGGUGUCCCUAGAAACAGAACAUGAGAGAAGGAUUAAGGAAGUUCCUCCGGGAGCAACAGUGACGGAGUGGAAGAAGACGACAACAAACAAGGGUGUGAUUUCAAAUGAACCUCAUCUAGCCUGAUCAUGCAGAGUACUGGGCCUAAUUGGCAUUUUUAACUUAAACUGUAGUCAACUAUACAGCUAAAUGAGUUCAAGAAUAAUUAUAAGCAAAGAUCUUUCAUUUUUUUUCAACUUUCAUUUUAGAUUCAGGGGGCAAACAGGAAGUUUUUUAGCCCUUGCCCCGCUCUCACCCUUUCCCCUCUAGGAGUCCCCAGUGUCUAUUGUUCCCAUCUUUAUGUCCAUUUGUACUCAAUAUUUAGCUCCCACUUAUAAGUGAGAAUAUGUAGUAUUUAGUUUUCUGUUCCUGAAUUAAUUUGAGAUUUUUAUUUUAUUCUUUUUCUUUAUUUUUUUAAAAAACAGGAUCUUGCUCUGUCACCCAGGCUGGAGUGCAGUGACGCAAUUAUAGCUCACUGCAGCAUUGAACGCCUGGGCUCAAGCAAUCCUCCAGCCUCAGUCUCUCGAGUAGCUGGGACUACAGGUGGAUAUCAACAUGCCCAGGAUGUUGCAGCAAAGAAUCAAGAGGACGCCUUGUUGAAAGCUAAGCCUGUUGCUGGAGCAAACAGAUCUUUUGCCAGAGCAAUGACUCAACACACCACAAGGCAACUGAGUCUUGCUGCUCUCCAGAGACUGUGGUUAGAAAUACGUCACCAGCGGGAGCAUCAUUAAUCACAAAUGUAGGAGUGACAGUCAGUUUCUUGACCUCAUUGAGACAGGCAGGGAGGUCAUAGCUUCAAGCAGUUCAUUCUUCAGGCCCUACACAGGAAACUUCAUAAAGGAAAAACACCAAGAAUGAAAAGAAUUCAAGAACCUUGGUUUGUAUAUCUGAGUGCACAUUAGGACAUUGAAAGCACAUUUAAUUUCAUGCAGAAAAUCAUCAUGAUAUCAUCACAAAAGACAGUUUUGAAAUCAGAAAGUGAAUACGGUAAAAGGAGAUUUAAAUCAUUCACUGCAUUACUACUGUGCCAUGCACAUAAUAGGCCUUUGGGGAUACAGAAUUUAAGAUGCUGGAUGUAGUCCUACAUUUGUAGUCUGUACAUUCCUGGGGGAGGGAGAUGGAUAAAUAAACAAGUUAAAAAAAAAAGAAGAAAAUUUAAAAUAGAGACAAGAAAAAUAAAAGAAAUAAAAGAAUGAGAUGUGGAAGCAUGGUGGUGGAGUAAGUACCUCCCCAAGAAAGUACAAUAUAAAUAUAUACAUGUUUAUGGGUACUGCAUGGAAAUUUAAAGAAAAUUCUGAAUGUGCUAAUUUUUCAUUAAAAGGGAAAGAAAAUUAUUGAUAUUUAUCAUUAUUCAAAGGAAAUGGUUGUUUUUCAAGAAAAACAGUUUUAGAUUAGUUCCUAACACAUUUGGUUGGAUCUUUCUUUGUUUCUUUCAUUCUUUAUUUCUUUUUCUUUCUUUCUUUCUCUUUCUUUCUUUCUUCUUUCUCUCUCUCUCUUUCUUUCUUAAAACCAAACCAACCAAUAAAACAAGAAAAACCCCAAAACCUCAUUUUAGUUCAGAUCUAGUCUAUAAAUAAGCAGGGUUUUAUGUUUCUUAGAAUUUAAUUAAUCCCUAGUAAAUUACUAUCUUAUGAGGGAUUUAGAUUUUUGUGUAAUGCUGUGCCCUUUAUUCCAAUCCAAAGAGUAUCCAUGUAUUUGGGGUUAUAACACCAGUGUCAAAAAGUGAGAGUAUCUGUUUACAUGAUGUGUCACACUUUUUCUCUCUCCACAAAUUUGCUUUAUUUUAAAAGCAAUUAAUGGGCUUAGCCAUUAUCUAUCUUCAAAGAGAUCUGAACAAUUAGGGCUAUCCUACUUUUUCCUUUUUUUCCCCCAUUUCUGAAAGAUACUACCUUUACCCUUGCUGUCAUUAAGAUGUGUUGCAAGAUCUCUCUGAGGUCAUGCUGUAAAGAUUUUAGCCUUAGAAAAUUAAAGCUUAUGAUAAUAUGUAUCACAGAAACUUCAAAGAUCCACAUUAUCAAAUAUAGUGAUUUCAAACCUCAAUUAACGUAGUUUUAUGCAUGAAUACAAACAAACACCUGAACCUAUUAAGACAGUGAAUUAAUGUAUACAUAAAUAAUUGUCAGUGGAAAAACAGAAGGGUUUAAUGUAAAUCUAUGGCUGAGGUUUAUUUAUUUUGUGGAUAUUUUUACUUUUUUAGUUUUCUUAGUGACAGACAGAUACAUAAAUGUUACAUACACAUUACGUGUUGAAAUAUAUGUCCUCUUCUUUCUUGAUUGUGUCAGUUCUAUUUAGUUUAUUUUUCAGAGGCUGCUGAGAGAAUUACUUCUUUAAGAAAUUGGGGAUUGAAGAUUCUGAGUGUUUUUUAGUCAGGCUCAUUACCCCUCUAUCUUUAAAUGAAAAUAGUAGGAUCAACAAGGCAUCUCAAAGGGCAUUUUGACUAUUUAUCAGAAAAUUGUCUAGGUGGUUAUUUUUGCACAUGAGAAAUUUUCUAUCUAGCAGUUGACUAUUGCUUAAUUAACAAUUAAGACUAUUGCUUAAUUAAUUAAUAAACAAAAAAAAGUUUAAUGAUGGGAGUGCCCAAGAAUAUUUGGAGGAAGUUUUUUACCAAAUUCAGUACUACUACACUUUCCCUAAAAGAUGUCACUGAAAAAACUUCAUAUUCCAUGUUGUCCUUCUAUUACUGCAAAAUAAGUGUUAUUGUGGAGGUUAGCUUUGCACAUGAACACAAAGCCCUGAACAUAUAUGGUGAAAGUGAAUUAAUUUAUUUAAGACACUUCUGUUUUUCUCAGAGAGCAAGUGGGAAUGUAAAGCAAACUUUUCCUUUCUUCAAAGAAUCUUUAAGGACAGCAAAUUGAAUUACAGGAUUCGUUACAUAAAUAGAUUUGUUUUUCAUUGGAGGGGGCAGAAUUUUAUAGGAGAAUGUGUUUAGGGUGAGAUUUGUGUGGUCACAGGAUGAAAAAGGAGGAAGAAACAUAAGGAAAAUUAUUUAUAGAAAACAAUCAGUAAAUUUGAGUCUUGACCUCAAGUUGUUUAUGUCAACAGAAACAUAAUUUGUGGACCACCUUAAUUAUGUUUUGCUUUCCUGUUUCUGUCUGGCUGCUUUAUUUGUCCACAUUAAAGAAGGA
rnacentral:lncRNA from 10 species